GACGUCAACCGCACGCUGCCAGGAACGAGGACAACAACAAACCCCUGAAUUAGCCAAACGUUAGCAUUGCGUUAAAAUAUCUUAUUUUUCUGUGUUGAUACUGUUUUUAAUUUUUUGUGAAAAUGUCGAAAAUGGCUAAGGAUAUCCUAAAGAUGGACCUUUAUGGUUUACUCGGAAUUGACAUCACUGCUACACCAAAAGAGAUCAAGAAAGCUUAUCGACAGAAAGCCUUGACAUGCCAUCCAGACAAGAACCCAGACAACCCAAAAGCAGUGGAGCUCUUCCACCAGUUGUCCCAGGCUCUCGAGGUGCUAACUGAUGCUCCUGCCAAGGCUGCCUAUGACAAGAUCUGCGCUGCCAAGAAACAAGCAGAAGAAAGACACAGGAAGCUAGAUGAUAAGAGGAAGAAAAUAAAACUCGACUUGGAGUCCAGAGAGCAACAAGCAGAAGCUCAGACUCAGGAUGAGGCCUUUAACACUAGAACACUUGAAGAAGAGAUAGCCCGUUUGAGAGAGGAGGGAUCCAGGCAGCUUGAGGAGGAACAGAGGCUCAUCAGAGAGCAGAUCCAGAGAGAAAGAGAAACACAGCAGACAGGAAGCUUCACAAUCUCAGGAGUGGUGAGAUGUUCCAAAACCAAUGUGACCCCCAAAUUGAAGCUGAAGUGGAAGUGUAAAAAAGAUGACCAAACGAACGGAGGCUACUCUCAAGACAUUCUUUUCAGACUUCUACAAAAGUAUGGGGACGUGUCGAAUGUGAUUGUAUCGAGUAAGAAGAAAGGAAGCGCUGUGGUUGAAUUUGCGACUGUGCGAGCAGCUGAGCUGGCAGCUAAGAAUGAAAGUGGCCUGAGUGAAAACCCCUUGAAGAUUUCGUGGCUCGAGGGACAGCCCCAGGUUAUUGCUCCAGCAUCUCAACCUGGCCUGUUCAUGUCUUCACAGGGUCAACUGUCAAAUGAGCGCGACUAUGAGAGCGUGGUGAUGAUGAAGAUGAGACAGGCGGCUGAGCGACAGAAGCUCAUAGAACAAAUGCAGAAGGAAGACGAUGAGGAAGCCUAGUCACGGCACAGCUCGGUACCAGCCUGCAACAAAUCCAUCAAUACCUGUUUUAGGCUUUAGUUUCAUAAAGCCUUUUAAUUGAACGUAGGAUGACAGAGAGACAGAGUAGAGAAGAAGUGAGAGCUGCUGCAGUGGUGACCCAGAGGUAGGAUCAUAAUACUCAGGCUGCAGGGAGGACUCAGUACUGCACACUAUUGCGUGUAUAUAUUUUAAUUGUAAAUUUGACUUUUUGUUCAAAAUAAAGAGUACAAGCCUGCAGCAUGUAUUGCGUUUGCGGUUCCAUCUGUUUCAGAUGGUUACAAAAUCUAGUCUGUUGACUUUGCUGCAAUAAACUG